rnacentral:rRNA from 1 species
UACGGAGGGUGCAAGCGUUAAUCGGAAUUACUGGGCGUAAAGCGUGCGUAGGCGGUUCGUUAAGUCUGUUGUGAAAGCCCCGGGCUCAACCUGGGGAAUGGCAAUGGAUACUGGCGAGCUAGAGUGUGUCAGAGGAUGGUGGAAUUCCCGGUGUAGCGGUGAAAUGCGUAGAGAUCGGGAGGAACAUCAGUGGCGAAGGCGGCCAUCGUGGGACAACACUGACGCUG